AUUCUUACCUGGCAGGGGAAAUACCAUAAAUACAAAGGUGUUUUUCCAGGGCAAAACUUAUCAUUGCUCUCUGGAUAUGCUGACCCCUGUGACUCCCCCAAAUGUCAGAAACUCAACCGACCGCAUUAUUUGUGAUGGGGGGAAACAAAUUCACACUCUCCCGUUUUUUUUUUCCUU
rnacentral:snRNA from 1 species